GGACCAAUUUGUUGGUCGUGCCUCGGUACGUACUGGUAUUAUUGGUUUCUCCCUUCUGAAGAACCUCGAUGCCAUUAAUUUAGUGUCGUGGGGAAUCAGGACUGUUACUUUGAAAAAAUUAGAGGUUGUUUAAAGCAAGCAUACGCUUGAAUACAUUAGCAUGGAAUAAUGAAAUAGGACGUUUGAUUCUAUUUUGUUGGUUUCUAGGAUCGACGUAAUGAU
rnacentral:rRNA from 1 species